AUUGAACGCUGGCGGCAGGCCUAACACAUGCAAGUCGAGCGGAGCCGCGGACGGGUGAGUAAUGCCUAGGAAUCUGCCUCGUAGUGGGGGAUAACGUCCGGAAACGGGCGCUAAUACCGCAUACUCUCAGAUGAGCCUAGGUCGGCUUAGCUAGUUGGUGGGGUAAAGGCCUACCAAGGCGACGCUCCGUAACUGGUCUGAGAGGAUGAUCAGUCACACUGGAACUGAGACACGGUCCAGACUCCUACGGGAGGCAGCAGUGGGGAAUAUUGGACAAUGGGCGAAAGCCUGAUCCAGCCGUGCCGCGUGUGUGAAGAAGGUCUUCGGAUUGUAAAGCACUUUCAGCGGGGAGGCGUUACCCGCAGAAGAAGCACCGGCUAACUCCGUGCCAGCCGCCGCGGUAAUUC
rnacentral:rRNA from 1 species